GUUUUGCAUGUUUCUUCCGCCCAAUCCCCUGUCUUGAUAGGAGCUUACCUCAGAGUAGUCAAUUAUCAAAGCUCCCCCAAGAUCAUCAAUCAUGUGAGGAGAUUGAAGUUUAGAGGAGGAGCAACGCUCCGGCCAUCGAUUCCAGUGAAGCCCCCCCUUCUCGCCCCCCUCCCAUUUUUUUUAUUUAGCCACAAAACACAAGCAGGCCAUCUACCCCUUCAGCUCCGUCAACGCUAAUAUGCCGUCGUGGCCGUAUUAAUAGGUUCAACACAUAAAUGUUCCAUUUGGAACUCGGUGACAUUUUUUGAUGGUGAAAAUUAAUUAUUCACAGGUUAGGAUUAAGUGCUCAGGGAGAUGGGCUGUGGCUACUGUUGGAGGGUCAACAACUCUCCCGGCAAACAAAAAUACCCAGCCAGUGCUGCAUAAAGGGGUCGAUUGUACAGACAGCGGAGUUGAGAAACAACGGAAAAUGAUUUAAUAAAUGAAACCGUGACAACAGUUAUGUUUGUUGGCAUAAAGUGGGGAGGGGGUGGGUGGGGUGUGCAGGACCGCAGGCUUUGACAAACGGCUGUAUGUGUGGACAUUUCGACGCGCAAUACCCCGGGAAGGAGCUGCAGAGCAGCGCACAGAGAGCCAAGGCGAUCACCGUCUCCAGGUCUCUGAGUGUGCGCUCUGUAAACACAGCCGGUCCGGCGAACCCUGCCGCUGAAGACUCUGGCGCUCGAUACUCAAAUACUGUCCGAUCUCUUUGCAUUUCUUGUUCUAUUUUAAUUUUUAUUUUUUAUCAACCACUCUCCUUUUGGAUCAACCAUGGUCCCUCCAUGCCUGAAUUGUCGGCUGGUUUCCUCCAAGGGGAUCGCCGGGAACUCAGCCUGAACGCAGCUGCAUUCACGUGGAGCGACGCGUUUUGAUAUUCAGGUCACACAAGGGGAGCAAACACAUGCCCUCCUGUUCAAUAAACAUCAUUGAUAAGGCUGCACAUCCGGCCAUUUUCCAACGCCGACCUUCGCAGAGCAACAGCGCUUAUUGUUGUGAAUUAUAAGGCUGAGAUAUGUCGUUUUGAGCUUUAUCUUGCCUGUUUGUUUAAAAGUGAAAUUUUAAAAAAUAAUGCUUUCAUUUCGGAGGUGUCCACAUUAAAGUCGGAGAAAGUUGA